rnacentral:lncRNA from 1 species
AUGGUCUCAGAUGGUGAAUGCCCAGCAAAUGUGAGAAUACAGUCAUUUUUUGUUGCAGAUCAUAUUUUACGUCAUAUUUCCCUUAAAAGGGAAGAUCUCCUGAGAAGGUAUGACCUAUCUCCCUUCAGCUCCACCAGUCUUUGCAGAAAAGUCACCUCUCAUGGGUCCAGCUCAGAUAACCCCAAUGUCAGACUCUUCUGCUGCUUAUGCAGCCCUUGUAUAUGCCCCCAGCAGUGCGAGUGGGGUGGCCACUGCAGUGCUAAUUCAGCUCUUCACACAACAUUCUGUUCUGCUUUUGGAAUUUGAGACUCUGAAAUGUCUGGACUUUAAGUAGUAGAAACCUCUUCACUUGGUAAUAUUGCAGAGUUACCUGUUUGUAACUAUUCAAACCAAUGGUAAAGCAAGUUUAAAUGUAUCAGGAGAGCAGUCCGAGUACAUACUUCUGGGACCUCAGCUGUGGUGCUGCGUUCUCAGGCAGAGCAAGUUCUACACCGAUGCAGCCCAUAAUGCUGGCUAAUGUUAUUGACGAGCCAUCAGUCCUGCAGAGACACGUGGGGGCUUGCAGCUCUCUCUGAACCACAAAAACCUAUCCAUGGACAAUGAUGGAGAGGAAGAGGAAGAUGCAAGCAAAGCACUCAGGCUGGCUUCAUUCGGCCUGCAAUACAUUAAUGAAAGACAUACACUCUGUGGGAAGAGGCUUGCUCUCACUGCUCAGAGUGGCUUAGGAAAAAUGAACUAAACAUCUCGUCUAAAGGAGAUGAUUUUUUUGGAUUGACUAACUGAGUUUCUCAGAAAAUUACUCUUUUAGCCUAUGAUACUAUGCCAAAAAGCUGAUAUUGAUUUGCAAGACUACCUCCUGAUUCCCAGUCUUUUCUGAAGAAAUCAAGGAAAUAUAAAAACUAUUGGCUUGUCCUGUCUAGGAAGCUCAUGAAGAAUGCAGGAUAUUCAUUGUCCUAUAACAUACGUCGCUGCGUCAUUUCUAUCUAGUGAUACUAUAGCUAAAAAUAUUUUAAUAAAACACCACCCAAAUCAAACA